GCAGCGCGACUAUCUUGUCAAAUUAUCAAUCGUGCCGAUAAAGUCACGACUGUACACAAAGGGGUCGGGAAAUGACGUACUUCCGGUUGUGUCCGAGUCCCACCUUCCUUAAUCUGAGGAUUCACAGACUCGAUCAUUUCGUCCGUGACUUUCCGUAAAGUUAGAAGUGUUCGCGUUUGUUAGUUAGUGUUUCGUUUGCCAAAAUAGGUUAAAGUUAAGUGUGCGGUGUGAAAUUGUGUGCGAUAGUGGAAAUCAAAGCCAAGAUAGAAGCCAUAUUGGCUUGGGCUUCUCACCCGCAGAAUUUCCACGCACCCAAGCGCGAUACCUGUUCCCCCAACGGACGGAAAAUUCCCGACCACCGACUACCCGUCGGAAGUAGACUGGUCCGUCACCAUACUGGUCUAAGGGAGCUCUGGGGACUUCCACGUGGACGAAGUCCACCAGCCGGUUAAUCCAACCGCCGGCAAAGCAAGCAACCGCCAUCGCUUCAUUGAGCAGC